rnacentral:rRNA from 1 species
UGGGGUGACUGCGUACCUUUUGUAUAAUGGGUCAGCGACUUAUAUUCUGUAGCAAGGUUAACCGUAUAGGGGAGCCGAAGGGAAACCGAGUCUUAACUGGGCGUUAAGUUGCAGGGUAUAGACCCGAAACCCGGUGAUCUAGCCAUGGGCAGGUUGAAGGUUGGGUAACACUAACUGGAGGACCGAACCGACUAAUGUUGAAAAAUUAGCGGAUGACUUGUGGCUGGGGGUGAAAGGCCAAUCAAACCGGGAGAUAGCUGGUUCUCCCCGAAAGCUAUUUAGGUAGCGCCUCGUGAACUCAUCUUCGGGGGUAGAGCACUGUUUCGGCUAGGGGGUCAUCCCGACUUACCAACCCGAUGCAAACUGCGAAUACCGAAGAAUGUUAUCACGGGAGACACACGGCGGGUGCUAACGUCCGUCGUGAAGAGGGAAACAACCCAGACCGCCAGCUAAGGUCCCAAAGUCACAGUUAAGUGGGAAACGAUGUGGGAAGGCUCAGACAGCCAGGAUGUUGGCUUAGAAGCAGCCAUCAUUUAAAGAAAGCGUAAUAGCUCACUGGUCGAGUCGGCCUGCGCGGAAGAUGUAACGGGGCUAAACUGUGCACCGAAGCUGCGGCAGCGACGCUUAUGCGUUGUUGGGUAGGGGAGCGUUCUGUAAGCCUGCGAAGGUGUCCUGUGAGGGAUGCUGGAGGUAUCAGAAGUGCGAAUGCUGACAUAAGUAACGAUAA